rnacentral:rRNA from 1 species
AUUGAACGCUGGCGGCAGGCCUAACACAUGCAAGUCGAGCGGAUGAAGGGAGCUUGCUCCUGGAUUCAGCGGCGGACGGGUGAGUAAUGCCUAGGAAUCUGCCUGGUAGUGGGGGAUAACGUCCGGAAACGGGCGCUAAUACCGCAUACGUCCUGAGGGAGAAAGUGGGGGAUCUUCGGUCCUCACGCUAUCAGAUGAGCUUAGGUCGGAUUAGCUAGUUGGUGGGGUAAAGGCCUACCAAGGCGACGAUCCGUAACUGGUCUGAGAGGAUGAUCAGUCACACUGGAACUGAGACACGGUCCAGACUCCUACGGGAGGCAGCAGUGGGGAAUAUUGGACAAUGGGCGAAAGCCUGAUCCAGCCAUGCCGCGUGUGUGAAGAAGGUCUUCGGAUUGUAAAGCACUUUAAGUUGGGAGGAAGGGCAGUAAGUUAAUACCUUGCUGUUUUGACGUUACCAACAGAAUAAGCACCGGCUAACUUCGU